CUUAGAUGAGACUUAUUGCCCAAUUUUUCUCCCAGUGCUGCAGGCCUUGUGGUUGGCUCUUGGUCUACCUGCUUCAAUAAACAAAGGUCCUCUUCCUUUACCUUGAGGGGUUCCUCAUCCAGGAAUGUUCUUUCUCUUGCAACAGUUUGAAUAAUCAGCUCUUUAAUUUUCCAGUGCAUUUUUUCUUUCAGAGGCAUAUAAUAACUCCUUUAUUUUUAAUGUACAGAAAGAGGUAUACAGUUUUUAUUAGCAGACAAUCUGUUCUUUCUACCCCAACUAAGAAAAUGCUGAAAAAAUAUUUAAAGAAUGCCAGUUUGAAGGGGUGCCAAAUAAUUCACCAGCCACCGGGGCCCACAGUUAGAGUUGUCUUGACCAGCUGUCUCAGACAAGGACUGUGGAGCUGUUUUUUUGUUGUUUUUUUGGUACCACGGAUUGAACCUAGGGGUGCUUAACCACUGAGCCACAUCCCCAGCCCUUUUUUAUAUUUUAUUUAGAGACAGGGUCUCUCUUUGUUGCUCAGGGUCUCACUAAAUUGCUUAGGCUGGCUCUGAACUCAUGAUCCACCUGCCUCGGCCUCCCAAGCUGCUGGAUUACAGGAGUGAGUGCACUACCACAUCCAGCUGGAACUGACUCCUUUGAAGGAAAAUUCACCCUCUUUUUAAAAUUAUUUUUUAGUCAUACAUGGAUAUAAUAUCUUUAUUUUGUUUAUUUAUUUUUAAGUGGUGCGGAGGAUGGAACCCAGUGCCUCACAUGUGUGAGGCAAGCUCUCUGCCACUGAGCCACAACCCUAGCCUUGGAAAAUUUACUCUCUUAUGGUGACAAAUCAGGAUUUUUUUUUCAGGAAAAACCUCUCCAAAUGAAGAAUAAAUUAAUUUCUAGAGUUAUAGUUCAUAUUCCAAUGCCUAGGAUCAGUUUUCCAUUCCCAGAGGUCUCCAAAUGCCAAGUAUCUAGCUUUGUCUAGUUUCUUUUCUAAAUAUAUUAAGAGGGGGAAAUGCAUGUAUAGAACUAGUUUCAUGCCACAUUAUCAGAUUUGUCACAUUAUUGCUACAUCUUAUUUCUAACUUCAUUUUAUGACAUGAUCAUUGUAUACACAUUACUAUUCUUUGGUCUAACAAAUCAUAGAUGGCAAAUAAAAUGAAAAUAUUCUACAAUGAUCACAAUUUAACAGCACAUUGAACUUUCUCAGCAGGGACAUUUUGAAUAGAUGCACUCUUACUUUGCUAAUGGAGUACAUCAUUCAAUCAUUUGGAUAUUUCCAUCAAUUCCUGGAUACAUUAGUAAUCUAGGGGAAGCUCAGGGGCUCAACUAUCAGGAUUUGCUGGAAUCAUCUUAUAUCCCCCAUCCUGAACCAUGGGGGUUUCAGGAAUACAAAAGUGGACAAUAUUGCACAUAUAUGGGAAUUUCUUCUAUUACCUGUCUGCAGGGGAUCCAAAUUGGUCCUGGCCUGGGACAAAGUCAUUGGGAGAUGGGUUGCUUCAUGGAAGAAUAUGGAAAGUCAAGGCUAAGAAAAAGGUGUGAUCCAUUUUGGACAUUGCCUGGGAUCCCUGCUAUUAGUAGGUACAGAACAAUUUUAGGCCAGUGAAAUGACAUCUGUCUAUUGGCCAAGUAGAAAGAAUAUUAUUGCCACAGCCUGCAGGUGGAUGUUCCUGCUUUAUUGGUGCUUUGGUGACAGGAAAGCCAAAUCCUCUACCAUCUAGUAAUUACAAGCUUGUCGUGGUGUGUAUGUGUUACCUCGUAGCAGAAGGGAAAAAAAAAAACCUGCCCAAUGAUUCUCCUAUAAGUAUUAGGAAUAAAGAGAUUGUGUGGUAUUAUAGGAAGAUAUCUGAGUGGGAGAGGUAAGCUAUAGUCUUCAACUGUCACUUCAGGGCUGGGAGAUGCUGG
rnacentral:lncRNA from 1 species